rnacentral:rRNA from 1 species
UUAAGCGACUAAGCGUACACGGUGGAUGCCCUGGCAGUCAGAGGCGAUGAAGGACGUGCUAAUCUGCGAUAAGCGUCGGUAAGGUGAUAUGAACCGUUAUAACCGGCGAUUUCCGAAUGGGGAAACCCAGUGUGAUUCGUCACACUAUCAUUAACUGAAUCCAUAGGUUAAUGAGGCGAACCGGGGGAACUGAAACAUCUAAGUACCCCGAGGAAAAGAAAUCAACCGAGAUUCCCCCAGUAGCGGCGAGCGAACGGGGAGGAGCCCAGAGCCUGAAUCAGUGUGUGUGUUAGUGGAAGCGUCUGGAAAGGCGCGCGAUACAGGGUGACAGCCCCGUACACAAAAAUGCACAUGCUGUGAGCUCGAUGAGUAGGGCGGGACACGUGGUAUCCUGUCUGAAUAUGGGGGGACCAUCCUCCAAGGCUAAAUACUCCUGACUGACCGAUAGUGAACCAGUACCGUGAGGGAAAGGCGAAAAGAACCCCGGCGAGGGGAGUGAAAAAGAACCUGAAACCGUGUACGUACAGGCAGUGGGAGCACGCUUAGGCGUGUGACUGCGUACCUUUUGUAUAAUGGGUCAGCGACUUAUAUUCUGUAGCAAGGUUAACCGAAUAGGGGAGCCGAAGGGAAACCGAGUCUUAACUGGGCGUUAAGUUGCAGGGUAUAGACCCGAAACCCGGUGAUCUAGCCAUGGGCAGGUUGAAGGUUGGGUAACACUAACUGGAGGACCGAACCGACUAAUGUUGAAAAAUUAGCGGAUGACUUGUGGCUGGGGGUGAAAGGCCAAUCAAACCGGGAGAUAGCUGGUUCUCCCCGAAAGCUAUUUAGGUAGCGCCUCGUGAACUCAUCUCCGGGGGUAGAGCACUGUUUCGGCAAGGGGGUCAUCCCGACUUACCAACCCGAUGCAAACUGCGAAUACCGGAGAAUGUUAUCACGGGAGACACACGGCGGGUGCUAACGUCCGUCGUGAAGAGGGAAACAACCCAGACCGCCAGCUAAGGUCCCAAAGUCAUGGUUAAGUGGGAAACGAUGUGGGAAGGCCCAGACAGCCAGGAUGUUGGCUUAGAAGCAGCCAUCAUUUAAAGAAAGCGUAAUAGCUCACUGGUCGAGUCGGCCUGCGCGGAAGAUGUAACGGGGCUAAACCAUGCACCGAAGCUGCGGCAGCGACGCUGAUGCGUUGUUGGGUAGGGGAGCGUUCUGUAAGCCUGUGAAGGUGUGCUGUGAGGCAUGCUGGAGGUAUCAGAAGUGCGAAUGCUGACAUAAGUAACGAUAAAGCGGGUGAAAAGCCCGCUCGCCGGAAGACCAAGGGUUCCUGUCCAACGUUAAUCGGGGCAGGGUGAGUCGACCCCUAAGGCGAGGCCGAAAGGCGUAGUCGAUGGGAAACAGGUUAAUAUUCCUGUACUUGGUGUUACUGCGAAGGGGGGACGGAGAAGGCUAUGUUGGCCGGGCGACGGUUGUCCCGGUUUAAGCGUGUAGGCUGGUUUUCCAGGCAAAUCCGGAAAAUCAAGGCUGAGGCGUGAUGACGAGGCACUACGGUGCUGAAGCAACAAAUGCCCUGCUUCCAGGAAAAGCCUCUAAGCAUCAGGUAACAUCAAAUCGUACCCCAAACCGACACAGGUGGUCAGGUAGAGAAUACCAAGGCGCUUGAGAGAACUCGGGUGAAGGAACUAGGCAAAAUGGUGCCGUAACUUCGGGAGAAGGCACGCUGAUAUGUAGGUGAAGCGACUUGCUCGUGGAGCUGAAAUCAGUCGAAGAUACCAGCUGGCUGCAACUGUUUAUUAAAAACACAGCACUGUGCAAACACGAAAGUGGACGUAUACGGUGUGACGCCUGCCCGGUGCCGGAAGGUUAAUUGAUGGGGUCAGCGCAAGCGAAGCUCUUGAUCGAAGCCCCGGUAAACGGCGGCCGUAACUAUAACGGUCCUAAGGUAGCGAAAUUCCUUGUCGGGUAAGUUCCGACCUGCACGAAUGGCGUAAUGAUGGCCAGGCUGUCUCCACCCGAGACUCAGUGAAAUUGAACUCGCUGUGAAGAUGCAGUGUACCCGCGGCAAGACGGAAAGACCCCGUGAACCUUUACUAUAGCUUGACACUGAACAUUGAGCCUUGAUGUGUAGGAUAGGUGGGAGGCUUAGAAGUGUGGACGCCAGUCUGCAUGGAGCCGACCUUGAAAUACCACCCUUUAAUGUUUGAUGUUCUAACGUUGACCCGUAAUCCGGGUUGCGGACAGUGUCUGGUGGGUAGUUUGACUGGGGCGGUCUCCUCCUAAAGAGUAACGGAGGAGCACGAAGGUUGGCUAAUCCUGGUCGGACAUCAGGAGGUUAGUGCAAUGGCAUAAGCCAGCUUGACUGCGAGCGUGACGGCGCGAGCAGGUGCGAAAGCAGGUCAUAGUGAUCCGGUGGUUCUGAAUGGAAGGGCCAUCGCUCAACGGAUAAAAGGUACUCCGGGGAUAACAGGCUGAUACCGCCCAAGAGUUCAUAUCGACGGCGGUGUUUGGCACCUCGAUGUCGGCUCAUCACAUCCUGGGGCUGAAGUAGGUCCCAAGGGUAUGGCUGUUCGCCAUUUAAAGUGGUACGCGAGCUGGGUUUAGAACGUCGUGAGACAGUUCGGUCCCUAUCUGCCGUGGGCGCUGGAGAACUGAGGGGGGCUGCUCCUAGUACGAGAGGACCGGAGUGGACGCAUCACUGGUGUUCGGGUUGUCAUGCCAAUGGCACUGCCCGGUAGCUAAAUGCGGAAGAGAUAAGUGCUGAAAGCAUCUAAGCACGAAACUUGCCCCGAGAUGAGUUCUCCCUGACCCUUUAAGGGUCCUGAAGGAACGUUGAAGACGACGACGUUGAUAGGCCGGGUGUGUAAGCGCAGCGAUGCGUUGAGCUAACCGGUACUAAUGAACCGUGAGGCUUAACCU